UUUACUAACUGCUGACGCUAAAAAAGAAAUAGCCUAAUAUGAAUUACCCCAUACUAAUGUGACGUGAAGAAGUUUGUGCAGGAUGUUCGUACACUACGGAUGGACACUGACUUGUCACCUUGUAAGCCUGACCCUGGGACCCCUGGGGGCCCUCACACUUCACCUUUCCCAUCUCUCAGGUGCCAGGCCCCUGUAUGUAAGCAGGAAGAGGAAAUAUCACUUUCUACUGACAUCUGACCCUUGCACAGAAAAGCCGGGAAAAAAGGACAAUAUAUCAG